UGGGGAAUAUUGCACAAUGGGGGAAACCCUGAUGCAGCGACGCCGCGUGAGCGAAGAAGGUUUUCGAAUCGUAAAGCUCUGUCCUAUGGGAAGAUAAUGACGGUACCAUAGGAGGAAGCCCCGGCUAACUACGUGCCAGCAGCCGCGGUAAUACGUAGGGGGCAAGCGUUGUCCGGAAUCACUGGGCGUAAAGGGUUCGCAGGCGGAAAUGCAAGUCAGUUGUGAAAGGCGGAGGCUCAACCUCUGUAAGCAAUUGAAACUGUAUUUCUUGAGAUGUGGAGAGGCAAGGGGAAUUCCUAGUGUAGCGGUGAAAUGCGUAGAUAUUAGGAAGAAUACCGGUGGCGAAGGCGACUUGCUGGACACAAACUGACGCUGAGGAACGAAAGCGUGGGUAGCAAACAGG
rnacentral:rRNA from 1 species